rnacentral:rRNA from 1 species
GAUCCUGGCUCAGAACGAACGCUGGCGGCAGGCCUAAGUCAUGCAAGUUGAACGGCUGUAGCAAUACAGCAGUAGCGGACGGGUGAGUAAUGUGUGGGAACGUAUCUUCUAGUGGGGAAUAUCUUUGGAAACGAAGAGCAAUACCGCAUGAGUCCUACGGGAGAAAGUCGCAAGACGCUAGAUGAGCGGCCCAUAUUGGAUUAGCUAGUUGGUUAGGUAAUGGCUGACCAAGGCAACGAUCCAUAGCUGGUCUAAGAGGACGAUCAGCCACAUUGGGACUGAGACACGGCCCAGACUCCUACGGGAGGCAGCAGUCAGGAAUAUUGGACAAUGGGGGCAACCCUGAUCCAGCCAAUGCCGCGUGAGUGUUAAGGUCUUCGGAUUGUAAAGCUCUUUUGUGUGGGAAAAUGAUGAUGGUACCACAAGAAUAAGCACCGGCUAACUUCGUGCCAGCAGCAGC